rnacentral:rRNA from 1 species
UAGCCAGUUGGUGAGGUAAAGGCUUACCAAGGCGACGAUCUGUAGCGGGUCUGAGAGGAUGAUCCGCCACACUGGAACUGAGACACGGUCCAGACUCCUACGGGAGGCAGCCGUGGGGAAUUUUGGACAAUGGGGGCAACCCUGAUCCAGCCAUGCCGCGUGAGUGAAGAAGGCCUUCGGGUUGUAAAGCUCUUUCGGCCGGGAAGAAAUCGCAUGGGCCAAUACCCUGUGUGGAUGACGGUACCGGAAUAAGAAGCACCGGCUAACUACGUGCCAGCAGCCGCGGUAAUACGUAGGGUGCGAGCGUUAAUCGGAAUUACUGGGCGUAAAGCGUGCGCAGGCGGUUUUGUAAGACAGGCGUGAAAUCCCCGGGCUUAACCUGGGAACUGCGUUUGUGACUGCAAGGCUAGAGUACGGCAGAGGGGGGUGGAAUUCCACGUGUAGCAGUGAAAUGCGUAGAGAUGUGGAGGAACACCAAUGGCGAAGGCAGCCCCCUGGGUCGAUACUGACGCUCAUGCACGAAAGCGUGGGUAGCAAACAGGAUUAGAUACCCUGGUAGUCCACGCCCUAAACUAUGUCAACUAGGUGUUGGGUGGGUAAAACCAUUUAGUACCGUAGCUAACGCGUGAAGUUGACCGCCUGGGGAGUACGGCCGCAAGGUUAAAACUCAAAGGAAUUGACGGGGACCCGCACAAGCGGUGGAUGAUGUGGAUUAAUUCGAUGCGACGCGAAAAACCUUACCUACCCUUGACAUGCCAGGAACUUGCCAGAGAUGGCUUGGUGCCCGAAAGGGAGCCUGGACACAGGUGCUGCAUGGCUGUCGUCAGCUCGUGUCGUGAGAUGUUGGGUUAAGUCCCGCAACGAGCGCAACCCUUGUCGUUAAUUGCCAUCAUUUAGUUGGGCACUUUAACGAGACUGCCGGUGACAAACCGGAGGAAGGUGGGGAUGACGUCAAGUCCUCAUGGCCCUUAUGGGUAGGGCUUCACACGUCAUACAAUGGUCGGUACAAAGGGUUGCCAAGCCGCGAGGCGGAGCCAAUCCCAGAAAGCCGAUCGUAGUCCGGAUUGCAGGCUGCAACUCGCCUGCAUGAAGUCGGAAUCGCUAGUAAUCGUGGAUCAGCAUGUCACGGUGAAUACGUUCCCGGGUCUUGUACACACCGCCCGUCACACCAUGGGAGCGGGUUCCGCCAGAAGUAGGUAGCCUAACCGCAAGGGGGGCGCUUACCACGGCGGGGUUCGUGACUGGGGUGAAGUCGUAACAAGGUAGCCGUAGGGGAACCUGCGGCUG